rnacentral:tRNA from 1 species
GGCUCCAUAGCUCAGUGGUUAGAGCGCCUGUCUAGUAAACAGGAGGUCAAGGGUUCGAUCCCCUCUGGAGCCU